GACGAACGCUGGCGGCGUGCUUCAUACAUGCAAGUCGAACGAGAAGCUCACUUCGGUGAGUGGAAAGUGGCGGACGGGUGAGUAAUGUGUAGAGAAUCUACCCUUGAGAGGGGGACAACAGUUGGAAACGACUGCUAAUACCCCAUAUGAGCGUACCUGAAAUGGUAUUCUUGAAAACUCCGGUGCUCAAGGAUGAGUCUGCAUCUGAUUAGCUAGUUGGUGGUGUAAUGGACUACCAAGGCGACGAUCAGUAGCUGGUUUGAGAGGAUGAUCAGCCACAAUGGGACUGAGACACGGCCCAUACUCC
rnacentral:rRNA from 1 species